UACGGAGGGUGCAAACGUUGCUCGGAAUCAUUGGGCGUAAAGCGCACGUAGGUGGCCUGUUAAGUCGGGUGUGAAAUCCCUGGGCUCAACCCGGAAAGGUCAAUCGAUACUGCGGGGCUAGAGUGCAGAAGGGGCAACUGGAAUUCUCGGUGUAGCGGUGAAAUGCGCAGAUAUCAGGAGGAACACCGGUGGCGAAGGCGGGUCUCUGGGCUGACACUGACGCUCAUGCACGAAAGCGUGGGGAGCAAACAGG
rnacentral:rRNA from 1 species